rnacentral:rRNA from 1 species
GACGAACGCUGGCGGCGUGCUUAACACAUGCAAGUCGAACGAAGAGCGAUGGAAGCUUGCUUCUAUCAAUCUUAGUGGCGAACGGGUGAGUAACGCGUAAUCAACCUGCCCUUCAGAGGGGGACAACAGUUGGAAACGACUGCUAAUACCGCAUACGAUUUAAUCUCGGCAUCGAGGAUAGAUGAAAGGUGGCCUCUACAUGUAAGCUAUCACUGAAGGAGGGGAUUGCGUCUGAUUAGCUAGUUGGAGGGGUAACGGCCCACCAAGGCGAUGAUCAGUAGCCGGUCUGAGAGGAUGAACGGCCACAUUGGGACUGAGACACGGCCCAGACUCCUACGGGAGGCAGCAGUGGGGAAUCUUCCGCAAUGGACGAAAGUCUGACGGAGCAACGCCGCGUGAGUGAUGACGGCCUUCGGGUUGUAAAGCUCUGUUAAUCGGGACGAAAGGCCUUCUUGCGAAUAGUCAGAAGGAU